rnacentral:rRNA from 1 species
UACAGAGGUCUCAAGCGUUGUUCGGAUUCAUUGGGCGUAAAGGGUGCGUAGGCGGCGCGGUAAGUCGGGUGUGAAAUCUUGGAGCUUAACUCCGAAACUGCAUUCGAUACUGCCGUGCUUGAGGACUGGAGAGGAGACUGGAAUUUACGGUGUAGCGGUGAAAUGCGCAGAUAUCAGGAAGAACACCCGUGGCGAAGGCGGCUCUCUGGGACGGUACUGACGCUGAGACGGCGAAAGCGUGGGGAGCGAACAGG